AAUGAGGAUAAUGGCUUUACUGCCCUGUCAUUUCGAUGAGGUAAUGAGGAUAAUAGCUUUAAUGCCCUGUCAUUUUGAUGAGGUAAUUAGGAUAAUGGCUUUACUGCCUUGACAUUUCGAUGAGGAUAAUGGAUUUACUGCCCUGUCAUUUCGCUGAGGUAAUGAGGAUAAUGGCUUUACUGCCCUGUCAUUUCGCUGAGGUAAUGAGGAUAAUGGCUUUACUGCCCUGUCAUUUCGCUGAGGUAAUGAGGAUAAUGGCUUUACUGCCCUGUCAUUUCGAUGAGAUAAUGAGGAUAAUGGCUUUACUGCCCUGUCAUUUCGCUGAGGUAAUGAGGAUAAUGGCUUUACUGCCCUGUCAUUUUGAUGAGGUAAUUAGGAUAAUGGCUUUACUGCCUUGCCAUUUCAAUGAGGUAAUGAGGCAAAUGGCUAUACUGCCCUGUCAUUUGGAUGAGGUAAUGAGGUUAAAUGGCUUUACUGCCCUGUCAUUUCGAUGAGGUAAUGAGGAUAAUGGCUUUACUGCGCUGUAAUUUCGAUGAGGUAAUGAGGAUAAUGGCUUUACUGCCCUGUAAUUUCGAUGAGGUAAUGAGGCUAAUGGCUUUACUGUCCUGUAAUUUCGAUGAGGUAAUGAGGAUAAUGGCUUUACUGCCCUGUCAUUUCAAUGAGGUAAUGAGGAUAAUGGCUUUACUGCCCUGUCAUUUCGAUGAGGUAAUGAGGAUAAUGGCUUUACUGCCCUGUCAUUUGCUUACCAUAUGACCCAUAUUUACAAAACAAAAUGGCACCAAACUGACAUGUUUUAUUUUGAUGACAAUCAUUCAAAUCCUUACAAAUGAAAAGGCAGAUCAACAAAUUCUUUGCAUAUUUUAUUUGUAUUUUCUUCCAACUUUCAACUCACACGUGGUCAUAUUUUACAUCUUUGUAAUAAAACAUGAAUACAAUAGUUUUUUUUGGGGGGG
ensembl:lncRNA